GACGAACGCUGGCGGCGUGCUUAACACAUGCAAGUCGAACGGAAAGGCCCUGCUUUUGUGGGGUGCUCGAGUGGCGAACGGGUGAGUAACACGUGAGUAACCUGCCCUUGACUUUGGGAUAACUUCAGGAAACUGGGGCUAAUACCGGAUAGGAGCUCCUGCUGCAUGGUGGGGGUUGGAAAGUUUCGGCGGUUGGGGAUGGACUCGCGGCUUAUCAGCUUGUUGGUGGGGUAGUGGCUUACCAAGGCUUUGACGGGUAGCCGGCCUGAGAGGGUGACCGGCAACAUUGGGACUGAGAUACGGCCCAGACUCCGACGGGAGGCAGCAGUGGGGAAUAUUGCACAAUGGCGGAAGCCUGAUGCAGCAACGCCGCGUGCGGGAUGACGGCCUUCGGGUUGUAAACCGCUUUCGCCUGUGACGAAGCGUGAGUGACGGUAAUGGGUAAAGAAGCACCGGCUAACUACGUG
rnacentral:rRNA from 1 species